AUAUCUUGAAGGACUAGCUGGCACAACCAUGUCGACCAUGACACGGGAGAAGGCAAAGGUUUCUCUGGCAAAGGUUUCUCUGGCAAAGGUUUCUGUGGCAAAGGUUUCUCUGGCAAAGGUUUCUUUGGCAAAGGUUUCUCUGGCAAAGGUUAAACCCCAGCAAACCCCCAGGCGGCGCGGAGAUAGAGAGUUUAAAUCUAUAAUAAGUGACAUUACUAAACAAAUAAGUCAUAGUUUCUUUAGAAUAUCGACUGACAUAUAAUUUUAAUUUUAUUUAAACUAUUUAUAUGGUAUAUUUUUAAAUUAAUACGUAAAUUAGAAGAAAGAUAUGCGAUAUUAUUUCUACCAACGAUUUGGUACAUCUUGUUCUUUCGGCAACUAUCGAAUUGUUAGAUAUUGUGAAUACAACUUGUAUAUAAGUCUAUUAAAAUGAA